rnacentral:rRNA from 1 species
UACGAAGGGUGCAAGCGUUACUCGGAAUUACUGGGCGUAAAGCGUGCGUAGGUGGUUUGUUAAGUCUGAUGUGAAAGCCCUGGGCUCAACCUGGGAAUUGCAUUGGAUACUGGCAGGCUAGAGUGCGGUAGAGGGUAGUGGAAUUCCCGGUGUAGCAGUGAAAUGCGUAGAGAUCGGGAGGAACAUCUGUGGCGAAGGCGACUACCUGGACCAGCACUGACACUGAGGCACGAAAGCUAGGGGAGCAAACAGG